rnacentral:rRNA from 1 species
GUUGAACGCUGGGCAUGCUUUACACAUGCAAGUCGAACGGUAACAGGUUAAGCUGACGAGUGGCGAACGGGUGAGUAAUGCAUCGGAACGUGCCCGGUCGUGGGGGAUAACGCAGCGAAAGUUGCGCUAAUACCGCAUACGAUCUGAGGAUGAAAGCGGGGGACAGUAAGGCCUAGCGCGAUCGGAGCGGCCGAUGUCAGAUUAGGUAGUUGGUGGGGUAAAGGCUCACCAAGCCAACGAUCUGUAGCUGGUCUGAGAGGACGACCAGCCACACUGGGACUGAGACACGGCCCAGACUCCUACGGGAGGCAGCAGUGGGGAAUUUUGGACAAUAGGCGAAAGCCUGAUCCAGCAAUGCCGCGUGCAGGAAGAAGGCCUUCGGGUUGUAAACUGCUUUUGUACGGAGCGAAAAGGUCUCCUCUAAUACAGGGGGCUCAUGACGGUACCGUAAGAAUAAGCACCGGCUAACUACGUGCCAGCAGCCGCGGUAA